rnacentral:tRNA from 1 species
GAACUUGUAGCUUAAUUAGUUAAAGUCCCAUUUUGUCAUAAUGGAUUAUAUCAGUGCAACUCUGAUUAAGUUCG